rnacentral:rRNA from 1 species
CGGCGCACGGGUGCGGAACACGUGUGCAACCUGCCUUUAUCUGGGGGAUAGCCUUUCGAAAGGAAGAUUAAUACCCCAUAAUAUAAUGAACGGCAUCGUUUAUUAUUGAAAACUCCGGUGGAUAGAGAUGGGCACGCGCAAGAUUAGAUAGUUGGUGAGGUAACGGCUCACCAAGUCAAUGAUCUUUAGGGGGCCUGAGAGGGUGAUCCCCCACACUGGUACUGAGACACGGACCAGACUCCUACGGGAGGCAGCAGUGAGGAAUAUUGGACAAUGGGUGAGAGCCUGAUCCAGCCAUCCCGCGUGAAGGACGACUGCCCUAUGGGUUGUAAACUUCUUUUAUACUGGGAUAAACCUACUUACGUGUAAGUAGCUGAAGGUACAGUAUGAAUAAGCACCGGCUAACUCCGUGCCAGCAGCCGCGGUAAUACGGAGGGUGCAAGCGUUAUCCGGAUUUAUUGGGUUUAAAGGGUCCGUAGGCGGACUCGUAAGUCAGUGGUGAAAUCUCAUAGCUUAACUAUGAAACUGCCAUUGAUACUGCGGGUCUUGAGUAAAGUAGAAGUGGCUGGAAUAAGUAGUGUAGCGGUGAAAUGCAUAGAUAUUACUUAGAACACCAAUUGCGAAGGCAGGUCACUAUGUUUUAACUGACGCUGAUGGACGAAAGCGUGGG